GAGAAUUGAGGAAUUAAGAAAAUAAGAAUAAAGAAUUUAAAAUAAAGAAAGAAAUAAAGAAAGAAAGAAUGAAAUACCGUGAAGGUAUAGUAUAGAUACAAUGAUUUGAAUUUCAAAAUAAUAUAACCAAUAUAACCAUAGAUAAUAUAACGAUAAAAUAGACACCUUCAAGAUGUCGGGUGUCAGAAUAUAUACAGAGAUAUAACCUUAACCCUAACCCCUAAUGUGUCAAAACAAGGAUUAUCAACAGGAAGCAAGAACAGUGUAAGAAGACUCGUUAAGAAUGGGAACAAGAACAAGAUUACCUACUAAAAGCCUGAUAGUCAACUCAGAAAAAGGAAACAAGCAAGAAAAGCACACUGUCACCCUAUUACGACAGAACUAUAAAAUAACAAUACCAGAGAAAGACAUCAUGAAUUAAUUGAAUUAAAGAAUAUCAAAGAAGAAUCAGAAUAUCCAAGGAUAUAACAGGCGACAACCAAGGAGGCGACAGUAAAAUAAAAA